GCGGCGGCCUCGAGCCACUAAUCUGAGCUGUCCGCAAGAGAUCAGAAGCCGCCCGCAAAGCGGAACCUGGAGGAACGAGGGAGGGCCGCAGUCUCGGGGAACCGGAGCCCCCGCUGCGACUCCGCCGGGACAGCAGCUUCCGGCGCCCCGGCAGCCUCCUGCCCUCGGGGCACUCGCUCCCCCCGAGGUGUACUCCCCGAGGGCUGGGGGAGCGCAUUCCCUCCCGUCCUACUGAUUAACUUUCAGCAAAUGGGGAUGCCCAAAGGAGCAGAUAGCGAGUGACCUGUGGCCCUGCUGUUUGAUUCUGGAUGGAGUUACGUUUAGGAGCCUGGCAGCAAACUGGGGCACCUGUUCAAUUAGUGAUGAUGCCAUACUCUGGGCAUGGAGAGAGUGGAGAAGGAAAUAAAUU
rnacentral:lncRNA from 10 species